GCGCAGAGUAGAAGCGUUCAGCCUCGCGCAUGUCUUUUUCAUAAGGCAGGCCGACGAAGCAGGAAAUUGCUCUUUCA
rnacentral:ncRNA from 1 species